CCUACGGGUGGCUGCAGUGGGGAAUAUUGCACAAUGGGGGCAACCCUGAUGCAGCGACGCCGCGUGAGUGAAGAAGUAUCUCGGUCCUGAAAGCUCUAUCAGCAGGGAAGAAAAUUACGGUACCUGACUCAGAAGCCCCGGCUAACUACGUGCCAGCAGCCGCUGUAAUACGUAGGGAGCAAGCGUUAUCCGGAUUUACUGGGUGUAAAGGGGGCGUAGACGGCAGCACAAGUCUGGAGUGAAAUCCCGGGGCUUAACCCCGGAACUGCUUUGGAAACUGUGCGGCUGGAGUGCAGGAGGGGUAAGCGGAAUGCGUAGUGUAGCGGUGAAAUGCGUAGAUAUUAGGAGGAACACCGGUGGCGAAGGCGGCUUACUGGACUGUAACUGACGUUGAGGCUCGAAAGCGUGGGGAGCAAACAGGAUUAGAUACCCUUGUAGUC
rnacentral:rRNA from 1 species